GGCCUGGCGGGUUAGUAAAGCUAUUUGUGGGAUGAAAUGUUCAGGGUUAAUACCCCUGGAUCUUGACCUAACCCAAAGAAAAAGCACCGGCUAACUCUGUGC
rnacentral:rRNA from 1 species